UACGUAGGGGGCGAGCGUUAUCCGGAAUUACUGGGCGUAAAGCGCACGCAGGCGGUUCGCCAAGUUUGGAGUGACAGUUGUCGGCUCAACCGACAAAGGACUUCAAGAACUGGUGAACUUGAGGACGAGAGAGGAACAUGGAACUCCAGGUGUAGUAGUGAAAUGCGUAGAUAUCUGGAAGAACACCAAUGGCGAAGGCAAUGUUCUGGCUCGUUUCUGACGCUCAGGUGCGAAAGCCAGGGGAGCGAACGGG
rnacentral:rRNA from 1 species